rnacentral:rRNA from 1 species
UACAGAGGGUGCGAGCGUUAAUCGGAAUUACUGGGCGUAAAGGGUGCGUAGGUGGUUGCAUAAGUUAGGUGUGAAAGUCCUGGGCUUAACCGGGGAACUGCGUCCGAUACUGGUUGGCUUGAGUUUGGGAGAGGGAUGCGGAAUUCCAGGUGUAGCGGUGAAAUGCGUAGAUAUCUGGAGGAACACCGGUGGCGAAGGCGGCAUCCUGGACCAAUACUGACGCUGAGACUCGAAAGCGUGGGGAGCAAACAGGG